rnacentral:tRNA from 1 species
GCCACUCUAGCUUAGAAGGUCUGAGCGCCCGCUUGAAGAGCGGGAGGUUCCGGUUCGAUCCCGGAGGGUGGCACCA